UACAGAGAUGGCAACCGUUGUUCGGAAUCACUGGGCUUAAAGAGCACGUAGGCGGGAGAAUAAGUUGGAUGUGAAAUACUAUGGCUUACCCAUGGUGCUGCAUCCAAUACUGUUUUUCUUGAGAACGAAAGGGGAGAGUGGAACUCCUGGUGGAGCGGUGAAAUGUGUUGAUAUUAGGAGGAACGCCGGUGGCGAAAGCGACUCUCUGGUUCGUGACUGACGCUGAGGUGCGAAAGCUAGGGGAGCAAACGGG
rnacentral:misc_RNA from 1 species